UAAUAGUGUAUAUUAAAGUUGUUGCAGUUAAAAAGCUCGUAGUUGAAUGUUGGUGUCGAACGAGCGGUCAGCUUCGGCUGUACUGCUCUCUCGACUCCUUCCUUCUGUGGACUACGUCGCACUUUACUGUGUGGCGCUAGGACGCAGAUCGUUUACUGUGAAAAAAUUAGAGUGUUCAAAGCAGGCCGUACGCUUGAAUACAUUAGCAUGGAAUAAUGGAAUAGGACAUCGGGCCUAUUUUGUUGGUUCUAGGACCGUCGUAAUGAUUAAUAGGGACAGUUGGGGCCGUUUAUAUUCCGUAGUCAGAGGUGAAAUUCUUGGAUUUACGGAAGAUAAACUACUGCGAAAGCAUUCGGCAAGGAUGUUUUCGUUAA
rnacentral:rRNA from 1 species